rnacentral:snoRNA from 1 species
AAUCCAUGCAUUAGACAUUUCUGAAUUAAGUCUUUAAAUCACUUUCAAGCUUCAUGUAGUGUUUCAUCUUUUAACUACCGAAAAUAUCUGAUGUCAUUUCUAAGUUU